ACUGUCUCCCCCCUCCAUCAGUGAAACUGAUCUCCUCGUGAAGAAGCGAGGAUAACUGUAUAAGACGAGAAGACCCCAUGGAGCUUAAAACUUGUACCACUGCUUUAAAAUACACCAAAUAACUUAAGCAAGUAAUGACUACGAGUCUUUCGGCUGGGGCGACCACGGAGAAAAACCAAACCUCCAUGAUGAAAGGAAUAAUCCUAAUCAAAGAGCUACUCCUCCAAGAAUCAACAAAUUGACACAAUUGACCCAAACUUUUUUGACCAACGAACCAAGUUACCCUGGGGAUAACAGCGCAAUCCAUUUCAAGAGACCCCAUCGACAAAUGGG
rnacentral:rRNA from 1 species